rnacentral:rRNA from 1 species
UACGUAGGGUGCGAGCGUUGCCCGGAAUUACUGGGCGUAAAGAGCUCGUAGGUAGGUUUGUCGCGUUGUUCGUGAAAUCUCACGGCUUAACUGUGAGCGUGCGGGCGAUACGGGCGAGACUAGAGUACUGCAGGGGAGACUGGAAUUCCUGGUGUAGCGGUGGAAUGCGCAGAUAUCAGGAGGAACACCGGUGGCGAAGGCGGUUCUCUGGGCCUUACCUGACACUGAGGAGCGAAAGCGUGGGGAGCGAACAGG